GACGAACGCUGGCGGCGUGCCUAAUACAUGCAAGUAGAACGCUGAAGGAGGAGCUUGCUUCUCUGGAUGAGUUGCGAACGGGUGAGUAACGCGUAGGUAACCUGCCUGGUAGCGGGGGAUAACUAUUGGAAACGAUAGCUAAUACCGCAUAAUAGCAGUUGUUGCAUGACAACUGUUUGAAAGGUGCAAUUGCACCACUACCAGAUGGACCUGCGUUGUAUUAGCUAGUUGGUGGGGUAACGGCUCACCAAGGCGACGAUACAUAGCCGACCUGAGAGGGUGAUCGGCCACACUGGGACUGAGACACGGCCCAGACUCCUACGGGAGGCAGCAGUAGGGAAUCUUCGGCAAGGGACGGAAGUCUGACCGAGCAACGCCGCGGGAGUGAAGAAGGGUGUCGGAUCGGAAAGCUCGGUUGUAAGAGAAGAACGAGUGUGAGAGUGGAAAGUUCACACUGUGACGGUAUCUUACCAGAAAGGGACGGCUAACUACGUG
rnacentral:rRNA from 1 species